UUUAUCUCUUAAGAACCUUAUCAGGCGCAUUCCCGGAGUUGAGCCCAAAGUAAUUCAUUCUAGGCUUGCAUCUCCCUAUAUUGUUGGAUUGUAGCCUGCAAAUCUUCUCUCGCUCAUGUAUUUUAGCAUUUCCAUUCAUCUUGACUAUUUAUCAAAAUGGUGGAAGAAAAUAGAAGGGUAUGAUUGUUGCUCUAUCGUUGGAAUUAUAGAAAGGAUGGAUUAUAGGUUUCUACAGCAUCACUUUUAUUUGGUGUCUAGAUCUACCUUAGUGUUAAUAAUGGAUGGAAUCUUGGUCUUUUUUUCUCAUAAUGAUGAUAACUCCUUGAAGGUAGAGACAACUUUUUGCUUAUUUCUCAGAUGAUGUUAACUGUUAUAAUAAUUAAGUUAGACAAUAUUUAGGGGUGCACAAUGGUAAUGGUUCACACUAUGAAUAGCGUAGAGGCUAAGCUCAUGUAAAUUCCAGGUGCUGGUAAGAAUUCUUCCCUAUAUAUCUAUUAAGAAUUGCACGGGCUCACCUUAUGUGACAUGAAAUUUGGCUAGGUGAGUUGAGAUUAAGCUUCUAGUAAGGUCGCAAGGCUAAGCUUCGUCGAAUUCUAUUUUCAAGUGUAGGUGUCAGGUAGUUUGACGAGGGGUAAUAUGGAAAUAGUAUAGUAGAUAGAAAUACUAGCAUUUAAAUUUUAAAACCAAAUUAAAAUUAGAUCAUAGUCUAAAAUUGUUUAAUACAAUUAAGUUAAUUAUCUAUACAAUUCUUUAAAUACUUGACUGAAUUAGUGUUACUCAUCACUCGUGUUCCAACUCAACUAAUAUAUGAAGUUGUAUUAUUAUGAGAAUCUUUUGUCAUUUUUAUAUUUUUUAUAUAAAAUCAAUAAAAAGCUCACACAUAAUAAAAUUUGAUCUUAACACCAUAAUAUUUAAAAUUUUAAUUUUAUCAUUUUAACCAAAGCUUCAUUUUUUAAGUGUUUUAUUGUUGUCACGAAUUAAUAGACACCAAUUUAAUUAUAAAAUUAUUAAAAUAUCUUUUCUCAUAUACAAAUUAAAUUACAUUUUCAUAAAGAUACUUUUAACCUUUUUAUAUAAUAAAUCAAUAAAAAUCAAAUCAUAAUAAAUUUUAAAUCCAAAACAUCAUACAUGUGAUGAACAAUAAAUUUAUGAAAAUUUUUAGAGUAUAUAGCUAUAUAAUAGUAUCAUUUUGAAAAUUUAUUGACGGGAAAUUAAGUGCCACAAUUGGCUGCCAAGAGUUGGACCACGAGGUGAGCCAUUUAUGACGGGAUAGAGACUGGAGUGGGGUUCAGUUCAGUCACGUUUUUUAACUUUAGAAAGGUGAAAUGAUAUAAGCAAGGUUGGUGGAAAGGGCAGGGCUGCUGGGGUAACCCUUUUUUGACGAAAAGGUUGGGACCACUUCUGCCGACAACGCAUUGGAUGGUUCCAACUUGGAAACUGUGUAUUGGUGUUUUUAUCCUCCUUUGCUUCCGCCAUUGGCCCACUAUUCUAUGUAUGUAAGUAGCAGGUCUUACCAUAACCAAGGUAGUGGAUUUGUUUAUACCCAUACCCCAGUCCCACGCUCCAUAUAUAUAUAUAUAUAUGCAUAAACGUUGAAACUUUAAAAAGCUAAAGAUUUUACUUUUUUUUAAAAAAAAAAUCAAAUUAUAUAACUAAUAUUUAGAAUAAGCCCAAAAUAUAAUUUAAUAAUCAUUGAAUUAAGGAAGUAAAAGCCUCUACCUACUUUUAGCUUUUGUCUCUAUCUAUACUUCAUACAUUGAAUUAGUUGGAUUCUUAUGGGUUUAUAAUAUUUAAUAAUUAAAAUAAAAAUGGAGUUGGACAAAUUAUGAACUAGGCUUUGGAAUAAGUUUCUUAUAAUCAAAUCAAUUUGGUUCCAUUUAAGUUACUAUUUAAUCAUAUUUUAUUUAUAAUCAAAGUGGACAAAGCCUUGGGCAUAUUUGCCAAUUGUAUUUUUGUAACAAUGGUACUAGUUAAAAAAAGGAAAAUAUUACUCCCUAGUAUUAGUAUUUAGUACUAGUAGACCUGUGAAAGGAUAGAAUGGGUACCAUAUGGCCUGACUUUUGGAAUAAUCCAGAAAAUGUUCAACUAUUAAUUUGUUCUGAAAUAUUGGAGUUCCAUUCGAUAUAUGUCAAACACAUUCUAUUGUAACAAGUGAUUUUAUAUGAUAUAAAAAGAAACCCAAAUAUGAAUAAAUUAAAACCAAUAAUUAUAUGAAAAAAAUUAUGUUCAUACAUAUAAAUAAAUUAAGAACAACGAAUGCAAAAUAUAAGAACCAACCUACUUCUUGGACAAUAAACCCCCCAAAAAAAUCCAGAAAAUGUUUCAAAAGAAAUGGAUGAAUUCCUGAAGGUUGAUCCCAAAACUCCCUAUUUACCUUCUUAAUUGCAAGAAAAUCAGUCAAUUGUCAACAAAGAAAAAAAGGUUUAUAGUCACUUGGAGAUUCUGACAUCACGAAGAGUGACAUUAAGGCUUCCUUGAUGUUCUUCACAAAAUCCAGGCAUAUAGGCUUCAUACUGGGACCAGCUUCAAAGCAGCAGCGAUCGGCAUGCUGAAGAACCCGAUCACCACGCUUAGGCCCCACUGUGAAUAUGUCAGCGGCGUUGUGCUCGCAAAUGUACCCAAAAAUUCGAUGAUGAUGAUUUGGAAUACUGCCGUGCACCCAAGGACAGCCACGAACACAGAGUUAUUUAAUAUCCCGCUCAAAACAUUUAUUUCCUCCAUGUUUCGUGAGCUUAUCUCAUUGAAUACCUGCGGGGAGAAAAUUGCCAACCAUUUUUUCUUUUGUUAUGCUGUCGAGCAAGCCAAACACGAGUACUCUAAUAUUUUACUCAAUAACUCGUGUCUAAUCCACUACACCUAAGACUUGUCACCUUCUAGCAAUUGUGCAUGCAAUGAUAUAAUCUGAGUUUUAGAUAAAAUGUUUACCUGACAGAAGACAAACGAAUUGAAAAUAAGGGUGUUCAAUUUCAGAGUUGAAUCGGGGCCAUCGAGUUCAAACAUUGCUUUUCCUCUUGCUUGAAGAUACCAUAUGACCAUCAACUGAUAGAAAGAUUGCCCAAAGAUGUUCCUCCACAUGACGUUACUGAUAAAAUUUCCUUUCCUUCCCACUGGUGCACGUUUCAUUAGUUCAUCGGUUGGCGGCUCGGUUGC
rnacentral:lncRNA from 1 species